rnacentral:rRNA from 1 species
UACAGAGGGUGCAAGCGUUGUUCGGAAUUAUUGGGCGUAAAGAGCUUGUAGGCGGUUUGUCGCGUCUGCUGUGAAAAUCCGGGGCUCAACCCCGGACUUGCAGUGGGUACGGGCAGACUAGAGUGUGGUAGGGGAGACUGGAAUUCCUGGUGUAGCGGUGGAAUGCGCAGAUAUCAGGAGGAACACCGAUGGCGAAGGCAGGUCUCUGGGCCACUACUGACGCUGAGAAGCGAAAGCAUGGGGAGCGAACAGG